GCGGCGGACGGGUGAGUAACACGUGGGCAACCUGCCUGUAAGACUGGGAUAACUUCGGGAAACCGGAGCUAAUACCGGAUACGUUCUUUCCUCGCAUGAGGAAAGAUGGAAAGACGGUUUCGGCUGUCACUUACAGAUGGGCCCGCGGCGCAUUAGCUAGUUGGUGAGGUAAUGGCUCACCAAGGCCACGAUGCGUAGCCGACCUGAGAGGGUGAUCGGCCACACUGGGACUGAGACACGGCCCAGACUCCUACGGGAGGCAGCAGUAGGGAAUCUUCCGCAAUGGACGAAAGUCUGACGGAGCAACGCCGCGUGAGCGAAGAAGGCCUUCGGGUCGUAAAGCUCUGUUGUUAGGGAAGAACAAGUGCCAGAGUAACUGCUGGCACCUUGACGGUACCUAACCAGAAAGCCACGGCUAACUACGUGCCAGCAGCCGCGGUAAUACGUAGGUGGCAAGCGUUGUCCGGAAUUAUUGGGCGUAAAGCGCGCGCAGGUGGUUCCUUAAGUCUGAUGUGAAAGCCCACGGCUCAACCGUGGAGGGUCAUUGGAAACUGGGGGACUUGAGUGCAGAAGAGGAAAGUGGAAUUCCAAGUGUAGCGGUGAAAUGCGUAGAGAUUUGGAGGAACACCAGUGGCGAAGGCGACUUUCUGGUCUGUAACUGACACUGAGGCGCGAAAGCGUGGGGAGCGAACAGGAUUAGAUACCCUGGUAGUCCACGCCGUAAACGAUGAGUGCUAAGUGUUAGA
rnacentral:rRNA from 2 species